CCCUGCCAUUUGUACACACCGCCCGUCGCUCCUACCGAUUUGAGUGAUGCGGUGAACCCUCCGGACCGGUUCGCCGGGAAGUUGAGUAAACCUUACCACUUAGAGGAAGGAGAAGUCGUAACAAGGUU
rnacentral:rRNA from 1 species